ACCCUCCAUCGAUCUCUACUUCUCCCCGAUAAAUAAUGGGGGAACAGAACAGAUGACUCUACCCUUAUCUUUCCGGUUUUUAAUCUCUCCUCUUCCCCCCUCCUCCUUCCCUACCCGAUCAUCCGCAACCUCCUGGACGAGGGGCGUCCUCUCCCCUCGUGACUCCUGCACCUGCUGGCCUCAAAUACCGACGAGGCCUUGCGACCCCACCUCACUGUCCGGUACCGGAGAGAAGAUGAGCGAGGAUAGGGCUGCCAUAUUAAUGCUCUCUGCCCCCUCCAUGUGCCCCUUCCUGUCACCUCCUUCUCCAACACUCCAGCCGUCCUCUUCAUCUCCCCCGGC
rnacentral:lncRNA from 1 species